rnacentral:misc_RNA from 1 species
UCCGAGUUGACCCCGGCGGUCUCCCGUGAGUCCCCAGCACCACAAGGGCCUGCUGGCAACACGGGACAAGGGUUGCGCUCGUUGCGGGACUUAACCCAACAUCUCACGACACGAGCUGACGACAGCCAUGCACCACCUGCACACAGGCCACAAGGGAACCGACAUCUCUGCCGGCGUCCUGUGCAUGUCAAGCCCAGGUAAGGUGGGGAUGACGUG